rnacentral:rRNA from 1 species
CCCUUAGAUGUUCUGGGCUGCACGCGCGCUACGCUGACGUACGCAACGAGUGUCCUUUACCGAGAGGUAUGGGUAAUCAUUUGAGUGUACGUCGUGAUGGGGAUAGAAUAUUGUAAUUAUUACUCUUCAACGAGGAAUUCCUAGUAAGCGCAAGUCAGCAGCUUGCGCUGAUUACGUCCCUGCCCUUUGUACACACCGCCCGUCGCUCCUACCGAUGGGUGAUCCGGUGAAUGAUUCGGACUCGGUUGCCUCUAGCCACUAGUGGCGCUCGAGAAAGUUUUGUGAACCUUAUCACUUGGAGGAAGGAGAAGUCGUAACA